rnacentral:misc_RNA from 1 species
UGUCUCUGAGUACUCCGCCUUCCCUCCUCCCGGCUGCCCCGGCACAUCUUGUGUUGCUAUUUUUGGAUGCGCCCUUCGCUGUUUCUCGUCCCUCGCGCCUCUUAUCACUACCCGCGCACGAGGACAGCGAUGUACCGCCACCGAUAGCGCGAGGGUGUAAAGGCACACAAAGGGAAGGAAGACAUAUGGUUUAGUGGUGUAUCGCCCUUUCCGUCAUCCAGGCGCGCCGCGUUCGUUACGGGGGCUCACACAGUUAUUCAUAGAAACGCCGUGCAUAUGAAAAUAGCAGUAUCCUCAUAGAGAAAAAAAAACGGCGUACUUUAGGCUCACAAUUUUGCUCUGUCCGUCUUCUGAAGCUUCCGCCGUUGCCAUCACCGCCAAUCCUAAUCGUAACGCGUGUAUGGAUCACAUAUUUGUCCGCUCCGACUUCGCGUGCCGGCACGAGUACCGACUCGUCUCCGUCGAUGACGCGUGCGUGAAGCAGCUGAAGGAGCAGGUGUACCCGAGCCCCUCUGCUGGCAACGGUGCAGCCAGAAGCAAGCGGGCGCGUGCCUCGUCGCCCCCCUCAGCGACAAUAUGUAGUGGUGACGUCGCAGUCGUGUUCGUCAUGAAGGGUGACGGGCAGCUUUGUCUGCACGACGCACAGUCGACCCGCUCCGUCCGCCGCGUCGAGUACUCGAACACGAUGCUGCUGGCAACGCGACGGCUCAACCGCGCCGGCAGGUCUGCCGUCUGUGAGUCUCGAGGAAGGGGCAGUGAUGUCUGCAACACUGAGGAAACAGCCACAGUCACGGCUACUCCUCUGCCCGCAUCCAGAGUCCGCCAGUACACAAAUAACGUCGUCGUCGCCUCCCUGAGCCACAUGUUUGACAGUCAUGCCGCGCAUCCGCAGGACAACGUGUCGGCUGUGCUGGGUGAGUCGUACUUGACUAUCGAGGAACUCGAGGGCACCGACGGGGGCAGCAGUGGCAGUGGGGUCGCCGGUCCAUCAGGGCGCGGGUACACCUUUGCGCAACUCGCUCGCAUGUUCCGCAGCAGUCCCGCGGAGCUCGCCGAUCUGCUGCAGAGCAUCGGCGCGGUCGUGCACCGUGGCCUCGUUCGCCUUCUCCAUCCUUCCCUUGCGCAUGAGUCCUUGGCAGCGGUUCUGGCGUUUCUCGACGCCGCAGAGCCAUGCGAUGCCUCUUGGGCUGCCGCGCGGGAGCACCUCUGUCCGUCCGUCUACCCGGACGUCGUGCUACGUUCACUGGAGGCCGUGUACGGCGCGCGGCGAGGCGCAGGUGAGGCGACGAAAGACAAUGACUCCGUGGUGCUGGUAGGGAUGCCAGCACUGCUAAACCUGCCGCGAGUGCUGGUGGGUCUCGCCGGUGGUGUGUUUGAUGCGCACCAAGCCGUUGUUCACCGAACCCUCGGCACCGGCGAGGUUGCUUGUGGGUUGCCGCUGGAGACGUUCGCAAAGGCGUGGAUGGAUGCGAUUCCGUCGUCCCUCUUCGGCGUGGCUGGCAUCCCGCACCGGGGCGCGGCAGGGGCGCAGAAGACUCUCAUGGAGAAGCUGCGUGGCUACGUGGUGGUAGAGCCGCGUAGCGGCGGCUUUGGUGGCAGCAUGCAGGAUACGGUAUGGUGGGUACCGAAAGAGUCCCUCAGCAUCGACUUUGCCGCUCGCCUCCGCGCACUCUUCGAGCUGCGCCCGCAGUUGUGGGACCAGAUGGAGCUGAAAGAGUACGUUGGGACGCUGGUUCCACCAGACCAAAGCUUCGAGCACGUCAUUGUGCGCCACACGCGAGAGUACCGGAUACCAGGGCAGCCCGUGCAGUACGCUCCGCUCGCGUGACGCCGCAGUGGUGGAAGCGCUGCUGCUCGUUCGCACGCGUUUUGCCGCGCAGGUCGAUCCGAAUGCCGGCCCAUCUCUGUUUAACUUGCGUGUACUUCUCUGUUCUCACAAAUUCCGGUACCUCUACACCCACAGGGGCAUCGCUG